CUGGAAACAAAGCACAGAGCAAGGCUGAAGGAGCAAGACCUCCACAGUGCAGCUAAACAGCCAAAUGGUGAGGAAAAUGAGGCAGAGAAUGAAACAUUUCCAUCUGGAUGACCAAACCGUCAGCUCCUAAAGGGCCGCAGAGGCUGAGGGCGCUGCUGGCAGCCGGCCCUCUGUGGACAUUUGCUGAAUAAACAGAAGAUAUGUGCACCAGUGUUCGCUCCUUUGGGUGAUACCAUCCCAUUUUUAUUUUCUGGAUUUCCUUCCUGAUGGGUCCAUUGUUCCUCAUUUUCCUCUAGCAUUAAAUUCCUUUAUCUUUUCAUUCCCACACAGUCGCUGCCUGUGGUUGAAAAUUGAGUCACCUCUCAGGCCCCAGUGACUUUCCUGGAGAAGUCCAGGAAGCAGGCCUGCUGCAAGAUCCGGGCAAAUUCCUGGAAUCCAUUCCCCGAGGUCAGCAUAUGAGCUCAAACCUGGGACUGACCGGGGCAGACAUAAGAAGGAACACUUCCCCCACACCCCACGAGGAUUUGCACUCGAGUGUUCCAAACCAUCCUGGGGCGAACGGGACACAGUGGGGAACAACUGGUCAUAUCUUUAUGCCAGCGUUUGCCAGAGCCUGCGCCCAGAGAACCAGCUCCACAGAUCUAUGCCAAAAGGCUCUAUGCCAAUUAAGUUUGUGAAGCAUCAUAUAUUAUAUUCUCUGGGGAUUGGCCGGGCUUGGGGGCUCAUGCCUGUAAUCCCAGCACUUUGAGAAGCUGAGGUCAGGAGUUUGAGACCAGCCUGGCCAACACGGCAAAACCCCGUCUCUACUAAAAGUACAAAAAUUAGCCAGACGUGGUGGUGGGCGCCUUUAAUCCCAGCUACUCAGGAGGCUGAGACAGGAGAAUCGCCUGAACCCGGGAGUGGAGGUUGCAGUGAGCCGAGAUGGUGCCACUGCACUCCAGCCUGGGAGACAAGAGCGAGACUCCAUCAAAAAAAAAAAAAAAAAAAAAAAAAAAGGAAGGAGAAAGGGAAAGGAGGGAGGAAGGGAGGAAAAAAGGAAAGGAAAAAAAGAAAAAAUGAAAAGAAGAAAAGAUUUCUUGGUCAAAAUGAGACAUACAAAACCAAACAUUUCUAGAGGACAUCUCAGAGUCUGUAACAGAUUCUUGGGCAUUAUAAAGACCUUCCUUGGCCGGGCACGGCGGCACACGCCUAUAAUCCCAGCACUUUAGGAGGCCGAGAUGGGCGGAU
rnacentral:lncRNA from 10 species